UGAGGAAUAUUGGUCAAUGGUCGGGGAGACUGAACCAGCCAAGCCGCGUGAGGGAUGGAGGUACAGAGUAUCGUAAACCUCUUUUUGUUCAGGGAACAAAAGGGCGCCACGUGUGGCGCUAUGAGGGUACCUGAAGAAAAAGCAUCGGCUAACUCCGUGCCAGCAGCCGCGUUAAUAGAUCUGU
rnacentral:rRNA from 1 species